rnacentral:misc_RNA from 1 species
GAUGAAGAACGCAGCGAAAUGCGAUACGUAAUGUGAAUUGCAGAAUUCAGUGAAUCAUCGAAUCUUUGAACGCACAUUGCGCCCCUCGGUAUUCCGUGGGGCAUGCCUGUUCGAGCGUCAUUUACACCCUCAAGCUCUGCUUGGUGUUGGGCGUCUGUCCCGCUUUAUGCGUGGACUCGCCCCAAAGUCAUUGGCAGCGGUCGUGCCAGCUUCUCGCGCAGCACAUUUGCGUUUCUUGAAGUUUGGUGGAUCAGCAUCCAGUAAGUUCUUUUAUGACUUGACCUCGGAUCAGGUAGGGAUACCCGCUGAACUUAAGCAUAUCAAUAAGCGGAGGA